GCUGCCGCUGUCGCCCCGUGGGCCGCCGCCCGGCCCCGGACUGGGGCCGCCGCUAUCCAUGGGCUCGUAGCCACCGUAGUCGAGGCCGGGCCGCUCGUUGGUGACUCUUCCCGCCGCCCCCGGAACCCUGCUUGGUUCUCCUGAAGUGUCCUGCGGUCCGAGGAAAGUGACCCUACGCGCCGCUGAAGCCCUCCUCGCCGCCCACAGACGGGUGCCCAGAUCCGCAGGACGAGCAUCCCCGCACACCCUCGCCCUCGACCCUCCAGCCUUCUCUAGAGACCCCUAGACCUUGAACUCCCACUCCCAACAACACUGACCACCUGUCCCACCAGGCCUGAUAAACUUUACCAUACUUUUCAGCCAGAACUGUAUGACCGUCCUUCAGACACAGACACAUGGAAAUAUUCUGGGUGUCUACUUCUAUCCUGAUUCUGACCACCAACCCAUUUCUACUGAAGUCUUUGGCUCAGGGGUGAAGACUUUCCCCUCUGUUUCUGUCUUCCAGCGUUUGUUUAGCUUUUUGCCUUCUGUUCCCACCUCAUUGGCGUUACCAUGGCCAGUCCCCUUUGCCCCUUUUCCCGUUUCAGUGUCCUGAUCUAGGUUUCUUCUCGGUUCUCUUCCCAAGAUGCUGGUUCCUCUUCCUUCUCACAUACUUGCUUAUUAGUUCAUCUGCUUUGGUCUUAAUCCUGCUUUAUUCUUGAACCCCCUCCCCACCCCCCAAUCCACUAACCUUUCUUUUUCACACUGUUAAAACAUUUCUGAUGGCUUAACAAUUGGACCUUCACAUAGCCCAAAUCUGAAA
rnacentral:lncRNA from 1 species